AUCCAACAUAAAUCUGUAUAGAGCUAGGCAGACCGGCUCUAGUCUUAAUGAUGGAUACAGGUUUUCAAAAUCAAAAACCGCCAUUACGUCGUCAGGUUGCCAGGUAAUACUUCUCAAUGUUUGUAGGGCUUCAUUCGUCACUGUGGUGGAAUAGUUGGUUUGUCCUAAUAUUCUGGUACACCACUUUCCUAUAGCCUGUUCAAGUUGAUAGGUGGGGCUGCCCAUUUUUCCAUGAUGGGCCUCGGCUCUACUAGUUGCUUAUGGGUCUUGACAUAAGCGAACAGGCACGGGCUUACUGGUGCUAAGUUCUUACUAUGCUUCCAUUCUAGGGGGAAGAAUUUAUGAUUCACUAUCCUAUCUACUUGGGCUUUCAGCUAGAUAGUUGGGUCUCUGUCUAACAGCUUAGGAGUAGUAUCCUUUAUGUAAUCAUACAAGUAUUGAUCAUAUCUACUCAUUUCCAUUAGCACCAUUUUUUUAAUUUUGUCUUCUCUAGUGAUGACAUAGUCUUUCUCUUUAAGCCAUUUUAUUGUUUUUUUAAGAAGCCUGUUCAUCUCCAUGUGCUUGGCUAGUGUGUUGCUAUUCUUGGUGCUGCUCUUUUCCCUAACAUACUCCCAUCUUAGUCGCUGCCUUUCGUUCUCGUUGUUGCUGCACGUGCCUACUGUGUCUUCUAUGUACGGUGAUUCUUCCACCAGUGUUAGCUCUUUAUAUAGUUCGCAUGAGGGCCCCUUCGUGAAUAGCUGUUAGGCGUAAUCCAGGAUGGUUAUACCUCCUAUUACUUUGAUGGCAUCUCGUAGCCUUAUCGUUGUCUUUCUGGGUGUAAUGUUCUUUCACUUAAAUAUCCAUUUUAUUUUCCUUAUAUACUUCUUUUGUAGCCUCGCUAAAACAGCAUUCUCUCUCUCCUAUAUUGUUAUAAGAUGUUGUUCAUGCCCUGGUUUUCGUGUCACUUGCACUUCAAGGUCCUUUUCAUUUUUGUACAUUUUAUAGUAUUUCCUUUUAGCAUCUGUUAUUGCUGCUUGGAGACGUAUCUUCUUUGUGUUCCAAAGAAUCCUCUUAGAUUUCACCAUAUAGCCUGAUUUUUCAAUAUAG
rnacentral:lncRNA from 1 species